CUGAAUUUAAUGGAGGGAGUUGCUGGCUCUUUCACGAGAGUAAUUGUGCACCCCUUCAAAUUCAUCUUUUACCACUGUGCACUGUAGUAGACUAUGAUACCUCUCAAUGGUUCUUUAUUGAACCAUUGGAUUGAAGGACUUGCGUUUCAGCUGUCCUUCGAUUUCAUAGUCUCCCCCUUUAUCUUUAUAAACAAGUCUUAGAAUGUCUUUUGUGGGUGUAAUAACCUAUAAAACUAUAUA
rnacentral:misc_RNA from 1 species